AGUGAACGCUGGCGGUAGGCCUAACACAUGCAAGUCGAACGGCAGCACUGUAAGAGCUUGCUCUUACGGGUGGCGAGUGGCGGACGGGUGAGGAAUACAUCGGAAUCUACUUUUUCGUGGGGGAUAACGUAGGGAAACUUACGCUAAUACCGCAUACGACCUACAGGUGAAAGCAGGGGAUCUUCGGACCUUGCGCGAUUGAAUGAGCCGAUGUCGGAUUAGCUAGUUGGCGGGGUAAAGGCCCACCAAGGCGACGAUCCGUAGCUGGUCUGAGAGGAUGAUCAGCCACACUGGAACUGAGACACGGUCCAGACUCCUACGGGAGGCAGCAGUGGGGAAUAUUGGACAAUGGGCGCAAGCCUGAUCCAGCCAUACCGCGUGGGUGAAGAAGGCCUUCGGGUUGUAAAGCCCUUUUGUUGGGAAAGAAAAGCAGCAGGUUAAUACCCCGCUGUUCUGACGGUACCCAAAGAAUAAGCACCGGCUAACUUCGUG
rnacentral:rRNA from 1 species